rfam:Synechococcus sp. JA-2-3B'a(2-13), complete genome.
GCGGAACUGGCGGAAUGGUAGACGCGCUAGAUUCAGGUUCUAGUGGCAGCAAUGCCAUCGGGGUUCAAGUCCCCGGUUCCGCA